AUAAGUUCCUCGCUCUUUCCAUGCAGAAGUUCCCGCGAGUUCUAUUGCGGUGCAAUCAAUGCACAAGUCCAUCGUUUGAACUUCAGGAACGAGAGGCCGACGCUUCCAAGCUGUGAGCUCGAACGAGCUGGGAGAGUGGUCGGAUUCCUGGCCGACAAAUGGAAGAUCAAUGUGGCUGUGUGAUGAGGUCGCCCAAGCACGUUGCGUUUGCGUGUCACAGCUCCACAGUCGGCUCCAGUCCAUUCCUCCACUCCAGAGCAUUCGCGCUCACGGGAUGAGUAAGACGAACAGCGAUCAUCGGCGGGAUCGAUCGUACUGCUCCAUCCAGUGAGUGAACGUGUGAUUGAUUGGAUACAUGGAAUUGAUCGAUUGAUCCUAUACACAAACUUUGGCGUGUUGCUAUCUC